rnacentral:rRNA from 1 species
UACGUAGGUGGCGAGCGUUAUCCGGAAUGAUUGGGCGUAAAGGGUGCGCAGGCGGUCCUGCAAGUCUGGAGUGAAACGUAUGAGCUCAACUCAUGCAUGGCUCUGGAAACUGGAGGACUGGAGAGCAGGAGAGGGCGGUGGAACUCCAUGUGUAGCGGUAAAAUGCGUAGAUAUCACGCAGAACUCCGAUUGCGAAGGCAGCUUACUAAGCCAUAACUGACACUGAAGCACGAAAGCGUGGGGAUCAAACAGG